CAAUUUUUGAGUUGUUAUUUUUAAUUUUUUAACUAAAGUUUUAUUUUAGCUUUAGAUUUUAGUUAAUUUUUUUUAUAUAUGUAAAUUUUUUUUAUAUAAUUUUAUUUGCAGUAUUUAUUAUUAAAAAUUUAGUUAUUUAAGAUUUAGAAAUUGAUUUUAGUUUUAAUAAAUUUUGUGCCAGCAAUUGCGGUUAUACAAAUAAAUACAAUUAAAAUUUUUUGGUUAGUAAUUAAUUUUAAUUUAAUAUAAUUUUAUUUUUUUAUUUUAAGGUGAAAUUUAAAUUUUUAUUUUAUUUUUUAUUAUUUUAUUUAAGGUUAUUGAAUUUAAAUUAUAAACUAGGAUUAGAUACCCUAUUAUUUUAAUUAUAUUUUUUUUACCUGAUUAUUAAUAGAUAUGUUCUUUAAAAUUAAAAAAUUUGGCGGUAUUUUAGUCUGUUCAGAGGAACCUGUUCUAUAAUUGAUAAUCCACGAUUUGAUUAACUUUUUUUAAUGUUUGUAUAUCGUUGUUUAUUUGAAAAUUUUAUAAGAAUUAUUAAUUUUCGAUUUUUAAUUUAAUAAUUGAUUUCAGAUCAAGGUGCAGUUUAUAAAAAAGUAGAAAUGGGUUACAUUAAAUUUAUUUAUGGUUUUUUUAUUUUAAUAUAAAAAUUAAAUUGGAUUUGAAAGUAAUAUUUUUAAAUUAAUAAUUAUGAUUUUAGCUCUAUAAUAUGCACAUAUUGCCCGUCGCUUUCAAUUAAAUUGAAAAAAGUCGUAACAAAGUAGAUGUACUGGAAAGUGUAUCUAGAAAGAU
rnacentral:ncRNA from 1 species